AACGAGCGCUGGCGGCAGGCCUAACACAUGCAAGUCGAGCGCGCCUUCGGGUGAGCGGCGGCCGGGUGAGUAACGCGUGGGAAUAUGCCCUUCUCUACGGAAUAGUCCUGGGAAACUGGGGGUAAUACCGUAUACGCCCUUUGGGGGAAAGAUUUAUCGGGGAAGGAUUAGCCCGCGUUGGAUUAGGUAGUUGGUGGGGUAAUGGCCUACCAAGCCGACGAUCCAUAGCUGGUUUGAGAGGAUGAUCAGCCACACUGGGACUGAGACACGGCCCAGACUCCUACGGGAGGCAGCAGUGGGGAAUCUUAGACAAUGGGGGCAACCCUGAUCUAGCCAUGCCGCGUGAGUGAUGAAGGCCUUAGGGUUGUAAAGCUCUUUCAGCUGGGAAGAUAAUGACGGUACCAGCAGAAGAAGCCCCGGCUAACUCCGUG
rnacentral:rRNA from 1 species